rnacentral:rRNA from 1 species
CCUUAACCUGCUAACUAGAUUUGAGCAUUGAAGAAUGACAAAUUUUCUUAGAGGGACUAGCUUUUUUAGGUUUAACUAGCUGGAAGUUUGAGGCAAUAACAGGUCUGUGAUGCCCUUAGAUGUUCUGGGCCGCACGCGCGCUACACUGGCAGAGGCAACGAGCACAACCUUUUCUGAAGAGAAUGGGGAAUCUUUUAAACUCUGCCGUGAUGGGGAUAAGCCAUUGUAAUUAUUGGUUUUGAACGAGGAAUUCCUAGUAAGCGCAAGUCAUUAGCUUGCGUUGAUUACGUCCCUGCCCUUUGUACACACCGCCCGUCGCUACUACCGAUUGAAUGGCUCAGUGAGGUCUUUGGAUUUGAUUGGCCGUUAGGCUGAUUGGAGAAGUUGCACAAACUUGGUCAUUUAGAGGAAGUAAAAGUCG